GCAGGAGAUCCCUGCCUGCCUUAGGCUUUCUGAAGCCAAGUCCUGUGUCUCUAUGCAUGGUCAUGGUUGCCUGUACAAGGAAGGGUGUGGAUGCUCAUGAUUAUGUGGGGCUGCUUUGUGUCUGCCAGACAGCAAGGCAUGGAAUUUCUCCUGCAGAUAGGAGGAGCACCUCUAAUCACGGAGCAAGUCUGAGAAUGAGCCAUCUGCUGGGACUCACAAAGGGUGAAACAGCUCCCUCGUUUUUGAGCUGAAGCCAAGCACACUAGAAAGCUGGAUGGUUCAGUAUUCCUGUGAAGUAAUUUGAGUUUGGGUCAUUGCUGAGACCUUAUGCAUGCAGUCAUAAAACUGUAUUCCUGGUGUAAAUUGUGAAAGAGGCCACAACUUUGGCAUAUGCAUACCUUUAGGUGUACAAAUUAUGCCUGUCUGCCAUUUUGUGAAGUAUACUGGGGACAGCAAAUGGUACUUCUGCAUAAAAACAAAGUUGCUGAAAACCUGCUACGUGCUCUAUAUAGCUCUGAUCAGAGGGGGGGGGAAAUGACUACAGAUUUGUGGUUGACAAGCUUCAGAAAGGGUUCAGCAGAGUGUGAAAAUUGACAUUUAGCAAAUAGCAAUUCAGCCUUCAUUUUUUGUGAAGUUGCUUGGAAUAAACUGCAGGUUUAAAACAAAAUGUUUGGUCACUUGUUACAUUGGAUAUUGCUUGUCUCAUUACUGCAGUUAAUUAAAGGGGGGACCAAAAGUCAAAGCCAGAGUCAAUAAGAUUGUUAAUAAAGAUUUAAUUUGGUG